rnacentral:siRNA from 1 species
UACAACACACUCCUUCCUACUCGU